GACGAACGCUGGCGGCGUGCCUAAUACAUGCAAGUCGAACGCACUCUCGUUAGAUUGAAGAAGCUUGCUUCUGAUUGAUAACAUUUGAGUGAGUGGCGGACGGGUGAGUAACACGUGGGUAACCUGCCCUAAAGUGGGGGAUAACAUUUGGAAACAGAUGCUAAUACCGCAUAAAACCUAGCACCGCAUGGUGCAAGGUUGAAAGAUGGUUUCGGCUAUCACUUUAGGAUGGACCCGCGGUGCAUUAGUUAGUUGGUGAGGUAAAGGCUCACCAAGACCGUGAUGCAUAGCCGACCUGAGAGGGUAAUCGGCCACACUGGGACUGAGACACGGCCCAGACUCCUACGGGAGGCAGCAGUAGGGAAUCUUCCACAAUGGACGAAAGUCUGAUGGAGCAACGCCGCGUGAGUGAAGAAGGUUUUCGGAUCGUAAAACUCUGUUGUUGGAGAAGAAUGUAUCUGAUAGUAACUGAUCAGGUAGUGACGGUAUCCAACCAGAAAGCCACGGCUAACUACGUG
rnacentral:rRNA from 2 species